rnacentral:rRNA from 1 species
ACGAACGCUGGCGGCGUGCUUCACCCCUGCCGGUCGAACGGAAAGGCCCUGCUUGCAGGGUACUCGAGUGGCGAACGGGUGAGUAACACGUGGGUGAUCUGCCCUGCACUUCGGGAUAAGCCUGGGAAACUGGGUCUAAUACCGGAUAGGAGCCAUUUUUAGUGUGAUGGUUGGAAAGUUUUUUCGGUGUAGGAUGAGCUCGCGGCCUAUCAGCUUGUUGGUGGGGUAAUGGCCUACCAAGGCGGCGACGGGUAGCCGGCCUGAGAGGGUGGACGGCCACAUUGGGACUGAGAUACGGCCCAGACUCCUACGGGAGGCAGCAGUGGGGAAUAUUGCACAAUGGGCGCAAGCCUGAUGCAGCGACGCCGCGUGGGGGAUGACGGCCUUCGGGUUGUAAACUCCUUUCGCUAGGGACGAAGCUUUUUGUGACGGUACCUAGAUAAGAAGCACCGGCUAACUACGUG